AUUGAACGCUGGCGGCAUGCUUUACACAUGCAAGUCGAACGGUAACAGGGUGCUUGCACCGCUGACGAGUGGCGAACGGGUGAGUAAUGCGUCGGAACGUGCCGAGUAGUGGGGGAUAACGCAGCGAAAGUUGUGCUAAUACAGCAUACGUACUGAGGUAGAAAGUGGGGGACCUUCGGGCCUCACGCUAUUCGAGCGGCCGACGUCUGAUUAGCCAGUAGGUGAGGUAAAGGCUCACCUAGGCGACGAUCAGUAGCGGGUCUGAGAGGAUGAUCCGCCACACUGGGACUGAGACACGGCCCAGACUCCUACGGGAGGCAGCAGUGGGGAAUUUUGGACAAUGGGCGAAAGCCUGAUCCAGCCAUGCCGCGUGUCUGAAGAAGGCCUUCGGGUUGUAAAGGACUUUUGUCGGGGAGGAAAUCCCCAGCGCUAAUACCGCUGGGGGAUGACAGUACCUGAAGAAUAAGCACCGGCUAACUACGUGCCAGCCGCCGCAGUAAAAC
rnacentral:rRNA from 1 species